GUCGGCGGAGAUGUAGGUGGUGGCCGACCGCUUCGACGCGUGCGACUUCCUCUUCGAGACCCGCCCCUGCAGGGCCGGGCCGAGGGCAUUCCGCCGGCGAAGGGUGGCGUCUCCGGAUGCAGAGGAGCAAGACGGGGGAGUGAAUUGGUGCUGGAGGAGGAGGAGAGGGGAGGAAAGGGUGUCGGCGGAGGCGGCGGAGGAGGAGGAGGAGGAUGAGGUGGUGGUGUCGGAGAGGGAGAUCUGGAGGGCCAUGGCGACGGCCGCGUUCUCGCGGGCAGAGACCUCGCUGAUCCACGCCGAUUCCGAGUGGUACACCCACGGAUCGAGCACCGAGCAGUUGUCCGCCAUAUCCCUCGGCGGAUUCGAGGAUCGAGAAGGGCGAUCGAUUGGGAUUGGAGCUCAGAAGGGAGUGAAGGCGAAUGGUGAGAGGCACGGAGG
rnacentral:lncRNA from 1 species